GGGGACGUAGCUCAGCUGGGAGAGCGCGGGCUUUGCAAGCCUGAGGCCGUGGGUUCGAACCCCAUCGUCUCCACCC
rnacentral:tRNA from 1 species